CCUACGGGGGGCAGCAGUAGGGAAUAUUGCUCAAUGGGGGAAACCCUGAAGCAGCAACGCCGCGUGGAGGAUGAAGGUUUUAGGAUUGUAAACUCCUUUUUUUAGAGAAGAUUAUGACGGUAUCUAACGAAUAAGCACCGGCUAACUCCGUGCCAGCAGCCGCGGUAAUACGGAGGGUGCAAGCGUUACUCGGAAUCACUGGGCGUAAAGGGUGCGUAGUCGGGGUAAUAAGUCAGAUGUGAAAUCCUGUAGCUUAAAUCCAGAACUGCAUUUGAAACUGUUACUCUGGAGUGUGAGAGAGGUAGGUGGAAUGCGUGGUGUAGGGGUAAAAUCCAUAGAGAUCAAGAAGAAUACUCAUUGCGAAGGCAGCCUGCUGGAACAUUACUGACGCUGAUGCACGAAAGCGUGGGGAGCAAACAGGAUUAGAUACCCGUGUAGUC
rnacentral:rRNA from 1 species